GAAGGACAGCGGAGCUCACACAGCAGACUGCAGUGCUUCUGAGCGUUUCUGGACCAGAAGCUCUCCUCACAGAGAGAGGGACACAGCAGACAGCAGGCGCCAUGGAGCCGCCGGCAGGCCCUGCAAGCACGAGGCAUGUCCCCUGGAACAGGCUCGUCCUGGCAGUCUUACUGUUAACUUUCUGGACCCCGCCCACCACUGCCCAGCUCACUAUUGAAACGGUGCCCCCCCCUUGCUGCAGAAGGGUCGGAUGUUCUUCUCCUUGCCCACAACGUGACAGAGAAUCCUCUAGGCUAUGCCUGGCACAGAGGAGAAAGGGUAGAGAACACCCAGCUAAUUGCAUCAUUUAGGGUAGCCACUAAUUUCACUACCAAAGGGCCUGCACACAGCGGACGGGAGACACUUUACCCCAACGGAACCCUGCUGAUCCAGAGCGUCACCCAGAAAGACAGAAGUUCCUACACCCUGCUCGUUACAAAGGAUGAUUUAGAGACAGAAAGACAAACUGGACACCUCCAUGUACUCCCGGUGCUACCCACACCCGUCAUCACCAGCAACAACUCCAACCCCUGGGAGCACAAGGACACUGUGGUGUUAACAUGUGGACCUGAGACCCAGAACACCUCCUACACGUGGUGGAUCAGCAAUCAGAGCCUCCCCAAGAGCACCAGGCUGGAACUGUCCGAGGACAAGAGGACUCUCACUGUGUUCAGUGUCACAAGGAAAGAGAAAGGACCCUAUGUGUGUGAAGCCCGGAACCCAGUGGGCAUCAGCCGCAGUGACCCAUUCACCCUGGAUGUCCUCUACCCAGUGGCACGGCCCUCCCUCCAAGCCAGCAACACCACAGUCCCAGAACAUGAGGGCCCCGUGGUCCUGACCUGCCUCACAGAUGAGACUGGGGUCUCCAUACGCUGGCUCUUCAAAGGCCAGAGUCUCCUCCUCGCAGACAGGAUGACACUGUCCUCAGACAACAGCACCCUCACCAUAGACCCCAUCAGCAGAGAGGAUGCCGGGGGUUAUCAGUGUGAGGUCUCCAACAGGGGCAACGCCAGCAAGAGUGGCCCCCUCAGGCUGAGUGUGACCUGGCAAGAAAACGCUCGAGCCCUCGAUGUGGGGGCCAUUACUGGCAUCGUGAUUGGGGUCCUGCUCGUCCUGACGCCGCUGGCUGUCCUGGGGUGUUUCAUUUUCCUUCACAGAGGGAACUGGCCCCCAGCGUCCACCUCAGGACGUGGUCCCUCUGGCAGCUCUGUCUCCCAGGCCUCCCUACCUGAUGCCAGGCCACCAGCUCCCAUCUACCAGGAAUUACUACGACCGGACACAGACGUUUACUGUAAUAUCAGCCACAAAGCAGAUGUGGGUCCUUAGUUCCUCCAGACACGUCUCCUUACGGACUGUGGGAAAGAGCUUACCUGAGACCCAAGACCCGAGUGAGGUCAUGAGGAAGAGCCUGAGGUGGAGAACCAGCUCUGAGACCUGAGGCUAUUCGGGAACCUGGGCCCAGGCUCAGGGUCCUCCUGGAUUCCUGGAGACACUGACAGGCUGCCCUGAAGCCUGGAUGGACCAGAACUCAGGCUGCGAUUCCCACAGUGGGGGGAGGUUUCAACAGGCAAGUGACUGGGCCUCUGACCCACUGUGGACCACCAGAGAGAUCUGAAUCAAGAGCACUUUCCUUCCCCUGGUUGCAAAACAUACUGCCCUUGGGUCUUGUCCAGCAAGAAAUUCACCGGAAUCUCUGCUCCAGUCUGUCCAUGGUUCCUCGGGGAAAGUAUUAGCUCUAGUUACCUGACCUCCCCAUCUAUUUCCUGGGGGAAAGGAAGGGGAAGAUUGUGAGAAUGGAGGGAGGGGGCAUGCUAACAGGCAAGGAAGGUCACCAGACCCUUGGCAGCCACAUGGGCACUCGGCAGUCCUCACACUGCCCUGGGGUCCCAGACACCUGCCAGUGCUUGCUCACUUGGCAUGGAGUCUCUGGAGCACAGGAAAUGGGACCAUCUGAGACACACUAGAACACGAGUCAGGAAGGACGAGUCGUGGGUGAGACAACUUUUAUGGGUGAGGCCCCUUUGCAGCCUCUUGGUGUCCUGAGCCCUCUGGCCCUGUUCACCAGGCCCUGCUGGCCCCAACUGGUGCUGCCUCAUAUGAGUUUUUGUUGUUCAGUUGCUAAGUUGUGUCUGAGUCUUUGGGACCCCAUGGACUGCAGCACACCAGGCUUCCCUGUCCUUCACUAUCCCCCGGAGUUUGCUUGAACUAAUCUCCAGUGAGUCAGCGAUGGGACAGGAACUUUUGUCUGUCCCCAGAUCUAGGAUCCAGAAUGCCUUCUCUCUCCAUGGGUUUCUGUUGUUUCCCUAAGGGCCUAAGCCCUGAGGACAUUGUUCCCUCUGGGGGAACCAAGAGGAGCAAUCAGAGUCACCAAAGUAAGAGGGACCCAGAAGCCAUGCUCUGAGCAAGGUCCUCCCAGGAACUUCCUGUGACCUCUAUCCACUUCCUGCUGGUUUCCAGUUUGCUUUUCGAUGCAGAUCGUGAGCCUGCUCCCAACACACACACACGUGAGCCUCAGGGCAAAGGUGCAGGCUCUACCUAAUACUCAACCUGGCUACCACGGCAAAGGGCUCACCUGUCUCCUCCUCAAAGUGUCUCAAGGGCCUUCCCACCCGGAUCUCACCUGCAGCUCCCGCCACACACCUGGGCUAGCAGGUCUCAGUCUCUCCUGAGGUCCCUGGGAUAGGUCUGUUCUCAUAUAGUUCCGCUCGGAUCGCAUGCCCAUGCUCACACAAACACAGCAAGUGUGUGCCCUAGGGCACAGAGCCCACAGUUGACAAGCAUGCUCUGCCAGUGGCCAAGUAUCAUCUGUGCUGAGAUGAGAUGAGAGGUAAGAGAAACCACCUGCAAAGCUUCCGAUCAUGAUUUAGGUCUAAAUUACUUCUUAUCCCCCCAGGCGCAGUCUUGGAUGAGACAAGGUGACACUUUUUGGUGUUCCUUAUUGUUCUGUAACAAAUGACCACAAAUGUACGGGCACAAACCACAGUGUCAAGUUCUUUCUGGAUUCUACAGACAGUUCAUUUCUUUGCCUUUCCAAGCUGUGAGAGGCUGCCUGCUUUCCUGGGUUUGUGGCCCUUUCCUCCAUCUUCAAAGCCAGCAGUGGAACAUCUUAAAGCUCCCCAAGCUCACCUUCCAUCAUCCCAUCUCCUCUGGCUCUGCCUCUCCUGCCUUGGAACAUUGUGAACGUAUUGGACUCAGCCCAAAACAUAGCCCACCAUAAUCUCCAAGUCACCCCACCAUAUCUCCCAGUCACGUGAUCUGAAUUUCAUCUGUAGGUUUCCUUAAUCAUGGGGCACAUUUCUCGGAUUGUGGCUUGAAGUUGUGGACAUCUCUUAGGGUUCUGUGCUCUGCCUACCACUCCUCUCAAGGCCGUGGGCAUCAUCUUCCCUCACUGCAGUCUGCUCUGGGGAGCUUGGACUUUGUCAUGCCGAUGUGGGGUCAAGACCUGCCACGAUGUCCACAGCAAUCUCACUGGCUCUGAGCCCUGGAGAUCGAGGCCAGUCCACACUCCCUGCAGCUCUCCCCACCUCUUCUUUCUGGUGAAGUGAAACUUGCUCUGUCUGUCCAACUCUUUGCAAGCCCAUGGACUGUAACCCUCCAGGCACAUCUGCCAUGGGAUUCUCCAGGCAAGAAUACUGGAGUGGAUAACCAUUGCCAUCUCUGUAGGUUCAUCAAACUCAGGUCUCCCGCAUAGCAGGAAGAUUCUGUACUGUCUGAGCCACCAUGGAAGCCUCUUCUUUUCUAGCAAUGCCCGAUUUUUCAGAAUGAAAAGCAGAUGUGACUCAAAGACCACAACUCCCAAGUCUCCAGGUGGCCUGUGUUCAUCAGCACCAUGGACAGUGUCUCUGCUGUGCUCAGCCCCCAUCAACGGGAAGGGAUGGCUGGAUAUCCUGCCCAUUUCUCCUCCAUGACAAAGAUGAACAUAGUAGAAUGUGUUCAGGGAUAACCCGCUUUGCUCUAGUUUAUGAAUCGGGAGCACUUUCUCCUGUGUGUGUAUUAGUUGUAGCUACAGCCAUGAUAACUCCCAGGUGAAUGAUCCUGCACCCGGAGGGUGUCCUCAAGGAGGCUGAGAACUAACUUUGUCCUCUCAGAGUAUCUCCCUGCCGCUGAGUGUCAGAUAACCAGCUUGUCUACAACUUGGAGGGAACGUUUCAUGAUUGAGUCCUGACCUUCGGUACCUGACCUUGGAGACAGCCAUCACCUAGCCUGGAGGCCCCCUGAGCACAGCCUCCUGUUCCCUCAUUCUCCAAAUGAUCCCCCCUCCCCCAGGGAGCAAGGCUGAGCAGAACACCUGGCCUACCCUCCCAGCUCCUCCAGUCUGAGCUUCAAGCCUGUGUGAGAGCUUUUGCCAUCUCUCCAUGCUUCCAACAGAGCAAGGGUCCUGCUGAGGAGCAAGUGGGGCCUGAAGACCAGUCUCCAGGGUACAAUUCAUCACCUGAGGGCUCCUCCGUCUGCCUGUGAACCCCAGGGAAGAGAAGGAACUAGGGCUCCACAGUCACCCCACACUUCCUCUUCUCCAUAAAUGUACCAUUGACAGGGGUAACUCUGACACGCAAACCCAGCACUAUACUUCCCAAGGGCAUGGGUCUAACCCAUCCAGCAUCCCUAACAGUCAUGCAAAAUGCUCGAGAUACCCAGUAUAAUGGUCACCGGGUUACCAGGGGCCUCUCUAUCUUCCAUGGGGACAGACUCUGCAGGACUCACCCGGGCUCAUGUGCACCACCUGUGGAACCAUGGUGUUUAAAUGGACCAGCAGAGGGAGCUACUGAAGGUAUCCCAGGGGUCCUGGCAUCUGGCCAACCACAGUGGCACAGCCACAGGACUUAGUGAAAAGAUGAAGAAAAGGAUGGGUAGGACAUAAAGGAGGGAUGGGAUGUGGCAGAGAGAUGGACCUAUGGACACAGGUGCUAUCUCCUCACAGAAUUUUUCCGUAAAGGGUGAGGAUGUUGGAAAUGAACAUUUUCCUAUACUCCCCAUGCAGAUGCAGUUUAGGGGAUACAGUGGCACUCAGUGUGCACACAAGUUGACCAGGACUCCAGUUCUAAGAGGAUCCCUGAGCUGGGAGCUCGGACAUGGAAGGAUUCACCUGUCCUGCUUCUGCUGAGUCCACUGGCCAGCUCCAGGCCUGGUGCAGGGAGCUGCAUACCUGUGUGUCGAAUGAAUGAGCCCCUGGAUCACACUCCACGGGGGCCGAGAUUUGUGGUGAGGAUGUUCACUGCAGAGCAGAUGGUCAGUGUGAAAGGCAGGGUGUUCGCUAGUGGCUGUUCCAGACUGAAAACAAAUUUGCAGUGAAGUCACCCCAGUGGCAGAGCAGGUCCUCAGCCUGUGGAAAAUCAAUGUGUCAAUGGUGUUCUGGAUGUUUGAGAAAGAAGGAGAUGAAAAGAAGACCUGACAACUUUGGGAAUAACAUUUAAUUCUGAACUACUCUUAGCAAAUAUUUUAUUUAUUUUUUUAUUUCUGGCUGCACUGGGUCUUCAUUGUUUUCCACCAGUUUUCUCUAGUGCGGUGAGCAGGGGCUAGUCUUCGUUGCGAUACACCGGCUUCUCAUUGAGGCAGCUUCUCUACUCCCGAGCAGGGGCUCUCGGCAAGCAGACUUCAGUCAUUGCAGCUCUUGGGCUCUAGAGCACACACUCAGCAGUUCUGAUGUAUGGCCUUAGUUGCUCAGAAGCAUGUGAAAUCCUCCUGACCAGGGAUCAAACCCAUGUCCCGCGCUUUGGCAGAUGGAUUCGUAUCCACUGAGCCAGCAGGAAAGUCAUCUAAACAAUGCCUAACUUGUAGAUAGACACUGGUUCAUCAUGGCCGCCCCACACACGAGGUUUCCAUAUUUGACUAUGGGUAAAUAAACAAGCGAUGUA